ensembl:miRNA
GUGCUCUUGUGGCCCAUGAAAUCAAGCUUGGGUGAGACCUGGUGCAGAACAGGAAGGCGACCCAUACUUGGUUUCAGUGGCUGCAAGAAUGGCUCCAU